rnacentral:rRNA from 1 species
CUACGGGCCGCUCCAGUGGGGAAUAUUGGACAAUGGGGGAAACCCUGAUCCAGCAAUGCCGCGUGUGUGAAGAAGGCCUGCGGGUUGUAAAGCACUUUCGGUUGGGAGGACUGCUUCUAGCACUAAUAUUGUUGGAAGUUGACGUUACCUUCAGAAGAAGCACCGGCUAACUCCGUGCCAGCAGCCGCGGUAAUACGGAGGGUGUAAGCGUUAAUCGGAAUUACUGGGCGUAAGGCGCGCGUAGGCGGCUAGAUCAGUCGGGUGUGAAAGCCUCGGGCUUAACCGGGGAACUGCAUCCGAUACUGUCUGGCUUGAGUACAGGAGAGGGGAGUGGAAUUCCACAUGUAGCGGUGACAUGCGUAGAUAUGUGGAGGAACACCAAUGGCGAAGGCAGCUCUCUGGCCUGAUACUGACGCUGAGGUGCGAAAGCGUGGGGAGCAAACAGGAUUAGAUACCCGGGUAGUC